rnacentral:rRNA from 1 species
GGUAAAGUAUUAAUUUUUUUAUUGAUUUUUUUGAUUAGAUAAAAGAUUUUUUUUUAGGACGAAGUAUAGAAAUAGAAAUAUGAUAAAGAUAUGAUAGUAGAUUAUUACUGUAAAGGUUUUAUGAAAUAGAAUGAAAGAAAGAUUUAUGAAAAAGGAGAAUAGGAUUUUGUACCUUGGGUAUCAGGGUUUAUUAAUUAAUAAUUAAGGAUUUUUUUUAGUUUUCCCGAAUUGAAAAGGGUGAAGAUAAUAUGUUAUUUAAUGUGGAACAAUUAUUAUUUAUAUUAUCUUUGUAAUGAAAUGUUAUUCGUUUUUCAGGUUAUCUGGUUUUCUAAGAAAUAAAUUUAAUUUAUAAUAAUUGUAGUAUGAUGUUAAUUUGGAACAGAAUAUUAUAAGUAUAUAAUAUUUAGGGGGAUAAGCUCAUAAUUAUUAUCUAUAAGAUUUGGAAUAAUAGAGAAUUGUAGGCUUUGAAUUAGCCAUCAAUGAGAAAAUGUUAUAAGUUGUUUUAUAUAAAUUCUUUUAUUUCUUUUUAAAAUUUAGAGAUUGUAUUAGAAUAUUAUAGUUAAUUAAUUGAUAUGAGAGAUAAUGAUGAAAUAAGUAUAAUUGAAUGUUUGAAUAAUUUAAAAAGAUAAUUUAUUAUAAGGAAUUAGGCAAAAAUAUUACUCGCCUGUUUAUCAAAAACAUCUCCUUUUGAAUAAAUUUAAGGUAGGGCCUGCCCACUGAUAUUAUUGAAGGGCCGCGGUAUCAUGACCGUGCAAAGGUAGCAUAAUCAUUAGUCUUUUAAUUGAAGGCUGGAAUGAAUGGUUUGACGAAGUAAUAACUGUCUUAUUAUAAAAUAUAGAAUUUACCUUUUGAGUAAAAAGGCUUAAAUGAAAAUGUAGGACGAGAAGACCCUAUAGAGCUUAAUAUUAAGUAGUAUUAUUUAGAAUAGGAGUGUAAUGAAAUUUUAUUAUAUAGUAUUUUGUUGGGGUGACACAAAGAUAAAAGGAACUCUUUGAUUUUAAGAACAUUGAUUUAUGAUGUUUUGAUCCAUUAUUAGUGAUUGUUAGAAUAAGUUACCUUAGGGAUAACAGCGUAAUUUUCUUUAAGAGUUCUUAUCAACAAGAAAGAUUGCGACCUCGAUGUUGGAUUAAAGAUGCUUUUAGGUGUAGCAGUUUAAUUAGUAAGUCUGUUCGACUUUUAAAUCUUUACAUGAUCUGAGUUCAGACCGGUGUAAGCCAGGUCGGUUUCUAUCCUUAUUAAAAUGAUAUACUUUAGUACGAAAGGACCAAGUAUUAUUAAUAAUUAAAAGGUUAUGAAGGAUAGUAA